UUCUGGCUCAGAACGAACGCUGGCAGCGUGGAUUAGGCAUGCAAGUCGAACGGGAUCGGGAAGGUAGCAAUAUCGGCCCGUGAGAGUGGCGGAAGGGCGAGGAACACGUGAGCAACCUGUCCUUGAGGUGGGGAAAACCGUUGGAAACGACGGCUAAUACCGAAUGCGGCGCCCGGAGACAUCUCCGGCGCGCUAAAGGGGCCGCAAGGCUCCCCUCUUCGAGGGCUCGCGCACCAUCAGCUUGUUGGCGGGUAACGGCCCACCAAGGCUCACGGUUAGCUGGUCUGAGAGGAUGGCCAGCCGCACUGGGACUGAGAUACUGCCCAGACUCCUACGGGAGGCUGCAGUCGAGGAUCAUUCGCAAUGGGGGAAACCCUGACGAUGCGACGCUGCGUGGAGGAUGAAGGCCCUCGGGUCGUAAACUCCUGUCAUGGGGGAAAAGGCGAGGGGACCCAACACGUCCCUUAGUUGAUGGUACCCCAAGAGGAACGGGCGGCUAACUCUGUGCCAGCCGCCGC
rnacentral:rRNA from 1 species